GCAUAUUCAAACCCGCGCAUUUGGAGCCAAACCCACUUGGAGCGCAUUUGGAGCGCAUUUAACCCACUUGGUUCAACAAUUUCAAAGGUACGUAGCUAUUUUUGGGCCGGCUAAUGUUGUGGUAAUGUUAUUUCAACCUGCUAGCUAGCAGAUAGAUGAUGCUAAUCUUAGCUGUGGUAAUGUCAUUUCUACCUGCUAGCGAGCUAAAUCUGGUUAAAACAUUAGGUAACAAAGUAAGAUUAAUUACUGCAGAUUAAUCACUGUAUUUGAGUGAUUGUUAAUGGUUAGUGGUUAUCUUUCAAAUGAUGCCUGUGAGGCACUUGACGUUGAGACUGGUUGACUUCCAGGCUGCUUUGGAAUAAGGAUACCUCUGAGGCAGCCACCAGUUUUUGGAUAACUCUGAGGCAUCAUAGGUAGUGUUGACUGCCAGGCUGCCUAGUCGUUGGUAUACAGGUUAACUCACAGGCAUCCAGUUGGUUUUAGAUACCUGUAAGGCAUCUAGACGGACAUUAAGAGGGGCUGACUCCCAGGCUGCUUCCUAACACUGGUUAGCUCUCAGGCAGCCAAUUAGCUUUGGAUGCCUGUGAGGCACCUGACGUUGAGACUGGUUGACUGUAGACUGAUAUCCCUUAGUUAAAUUGUCCUCAUGCCUCCUCAUACAGAUAGGCCUAUUGAAUAAAUCUGCCAGAUUAUUUUUAACAUUGCAUAUGCCUAACAUUAUGUGAUAAUACUAAUCACACUCAUAUUGCCUUUCUCUUUCAGUUCAUGAAGAAAUGGCGCCCAGGAAGGUAGGACGGAAGCGGAAGGCCCUGCAGGUGUCAAAAGGUGGACCAUCUGCAAAGAUCGCAAUUUUCCACCAGUCACCACUGGUUGGUGGAGCCUCCCCAGCCCCAACCCCAUCUAGCCCUGCUGCUCCAUCCACCCUUCCUGCCCCAUCCGGCCCUGCUGCUCCACCAAGCCCUACUGCCCCAUCCCAGCCGGCAUUUCAGAAUGUCCACAGCCUUUUGAGGACAUGCUCAGGGCAUCGGAGCAAAAGGUGAAGUGCACAGCUAGGCAUAGGUUUCUUCAAGACAGGUUUAUAUUUUUAGUGGUAGUGUGGUAGUAACAGUGCUGAGACCAUUUGUGAUGGGAUCUGGGAAAACCAGUCACAUGGUGAAAUUUGACCUUUGGAAGCUGACUUCAAGCUUGUUUCAAAUAUGUUUUCAUUAUUUGUCUGUUUCAAAUGUUAUGAUUGCCCAAAGUCAGCUGAUCAGUUAGAUUUCAUGGAAUAGAAUUUUGACAAAACAACUUUAAAGAGAGGGGUUCUAAAUAGACUGGCUGGUUGAAUAAAGCACAUUUUAACACAUUCAAUUAAUGAAAAACAAGUAGAUAUGUUUAGGGAUGAUAGACAUGUUAUAGAAUAAUAAUUGAAUCAAAACCCAAUUUCACCAAAAUACUGAGUUUCGACCUACUAGUAUUUUCACUCUAAUCUCAAAAAUGUCCCUUUUCACCAUGUGACUGGUUUCCCCAGAGCCCAUCACAGUUUUGGGUUAUAGGAACAUCUGUUGGGAUGGCAGUAAAGACAGAAGGGCUAUGUACAGACAUUACAUGUGUACAAUACUGUACUGUAUGUAAAGAAGAUGAAAUCCUAAUAUUGUUACGAAUAAUAUUGUUGAAACAUUGAAACCUUCUUUGA